UUACAGGGUGUUCCAUCCUGGGAAUGGGGCUCUGGCAGGGGAUUUUUUCAUGUCCUCUGCAUCUUUUAACACAGACUUUCGGGGGUUCCUGGCCAAAGCACCUGCUUUUACUCAGAUUUAAAGAAGGAUAGUUAUUUAUGGAAACAAAUUAAACUGUAGUGUCUUAAAUGAAGGCAAAGUUUUUGCUUGAAAAGGCAAGAGGGGUGAGGCACCUACAGAAACCAUUUGUACCAGCAGUAGGUUUAGGAAACAGGCAGGAAUUGAUCCUGCAAAAUGUGACUUGUGUUUAAAAGCAGUGCACAUAACAAGGCAUCUUGGAGCCUUUGCUGUUCUUCCCACUGUUGAUUCCAGCAAGGCAUUGUGCCUGGCAUCCAGAGAGUGCUCUGUGUGACAUGCAUUUAAAGCAGGAGGGGUUUUUAGUGCCAAAACAUCUUAACUCAUCUUCCUCAAAGCUAAUGAGAUCGGGAUUCAAAAACCUAUAAUUCAUCUUAAACGGGUAAAACGUCUCCAGCCCCGUGACCUGGCUCCUGUUUCUCCACCACAAGGCACUGAAUCUCAUCCCACCGCCUUAUUCUCCAGCUGACUUCCUCCCCCAUGCAGCAGUCAGUGUCCAAACAGAAGGACUGUUUCCAAUCAGUUCAGCACUCGAUCUGGCACUCGAUCAGUAACUGCUUUAUGUCGGAGGCCUUUGUUGGAUUUCAGGCUCAGUGUGACUCAGAACGCAGCACUCCUGCUAACUAAGAAGACGGGUGAACAGUGCCCAUGCUGAAGAGCCCAUUUUGUUGCCACACUCAGCUCCUGCAGAGAAAUGUGGAAAGGGUGUGGUCUGGAAUGAUCUGCUGCUAAGUGGGAAGGAGCGGUAGGAUCAGGUGGGAACACCAAAAACCUUGCUCCUUUCCUGACUCUGCUAAUGAGCAGCUCCAAGGGACUUCCCUGAUCCUUGUCCAGCCUCAUAUCCUGGCAAA